rnacentral:rRNA from 1 species
CCAAUCGCAUUUCCAAACAACUAACAACUCAGAAUGCUGGGCAAUAGGACGUUUAAAGUGGCUCCUUACACCUUACAAAGGAAUGGCUGAUGAGAAACAACUCGAUCCGCUCAGCGUUCUAUUGGAAUGCAACGGACGUGAUUGCAAGCUUUUGUUUUGAGUUGCGGUUUUACUGAAAGACUCUACAAUCCGCAAACUUCAAUGAUCUGAAGUAGAAAACCUACAUGCUACAGUGAGAUAUUGUGGAUAAACUUAAGCGACCGCUCCAACAUUGUGUUUUUUUAAAACUGAUGAAGGUUGCGGCAAUAACAGGUCUGUGAUGCCCUUCGAUGUCCUGGGCUGCACACGUGCUACAAUGGCUAGCGCAGUGAGCAUAUUUCAACCGAAACAUCGGUUGGCUGUUCUGAUUGACCCCUUCUGGGUCUCUCUGUAACACUACCGAUGAUCCCUCCUCUGAAAAGAGAGGGUAAGCCGUUCGAAAUUCUGGUAACGAUUCCCCGUAGUUAAGCAAACUUAAACCAUAGUGGUGUCAAACGGGUCCGCUUCCAUCGGAAAAGAUUCCUCCGGAAAAAGGCUUAUGCAGGCAUUUCACGUAUGCUCCUAUAAAUUCCUGGUAGGGAUAGUCUAUUGUAACUGGUAGACUUGUCAACUAGGAAUGCCUUGUACGGG